rnacentral:rRNA from 1 species
CCUACGGGUGGCAGCAGUGGGGAAUAUUGGGCAAUGGGCGCAAGCCUGACCCAGCAACGCCGCGUGAAGGAAGAAGGCCCUCGGGUUGUAAACUUCUUUUGUCAGGGACGAAACAAAUGACGGUACCUGACGAAUAAGCCACGGCUAACUACGUGCCAGCAGCCGCGGUAAUACGUAGGUGGCAAGCGUUAUCCGGAUUUACUGGGUGUAAAGGGCGUGUAGGCGGGAGAGCAAGUCAGAUGUGAAAUUCCAGGGAUCAACCCUGGAACUGCAUUUGAAACUGUUUUGCUUGAGUGAUGGAGAGGCAGGGGGAAGUCCGUGUGUAGGGGUGAAAUGCGUAGAUCAACGGAGGAGAAGCAGUGGCGAAGGCGGCCUGCUCGACAUUAACUGACGAUGAGGCGCGAAAGCGUGGGGAGAAAACAGGAUUAGAUA